GCUGGAAGAAAGGAGGGUACCGAGUUACUGCUGCAGCUGGGAAGGGGGAUGGCAAGAAGGAUGGAGAGGAGGGAUGGGUCUGGAAAGGAUCCUGCCCUCAGCACCCUCCUGAAGCACAGGAGGGCUGUGGGCUGGAGCAGAUGUGUGAUGCUGUGCCACGCCUGCCAUCCCCGUGGACAGCUGCUGCUCCGUGGCACCUUCCAGCCAGAGCCGUGGGACUUGGCCACGCUGUCGCCUGCCACGUGGCACUGCCAUCCCCAGCUCCAGCACCAGCAGAGCUGCCAGACCUCCCCGGCUGGAGGAACGGGAAGGAUGGGGAGCGCUGCCUCCCUUAUCUGCGGGGCCAGAUUGCGAGCAGCUGCGGGCAGAUAAAGAGCGAUGGAGAUCGGCUGCAGGGAGGCGUUUGCUUCCCCUGCAGAGCAAACUCCUCUCCCUUUUCCCAGCGCGCUCUGGCAGCAGCCAGGCUGCCUUCUGGGCAGGGAAUCUGCUCUGCCACAGGGGUAAAAGCAGGAGGGUGCACGAUGUAAGGGCCGGAACCUGAGUGACCCAUCUCGGUUUAUUUGCAGAGUGCUGCUUUAUCUCACCCUGUCGGGGUUGCUGCUGCUUCCUAUCUGCCCCAGCCCAGGAUGGGUGUCCCCCAGCACACUUGCCAGGCUUGGCCACAGGUUUUGCUCCAGUCCUGGAAUGCUCUUUCAUAGCCUGUGGUCUCCCUCUGUCCUGCUGGAUAAUGGGGGACAGCCUUGGCACAUUGGUGACAGAUUUCCAAGGAGACCCAAACCAUGGGGGAAAGCUUUUCCAGAGGGGGACAUGACCCUCCAGGAUUCCUGAGGACCUGUCUUUUCCCUGAGCACCACACUGGCUGAAGAGUGCUCCUUCCCAAAGAAAUUUUUGUGAUUUUUCUCUACAGUGGAAAAACUCUGCAGAAUAAGUGUCUGUUGGCUUUGAAAGUCCCUCGCUCCAAUACUCUUACCAGAUGGCCGACGGCUCACAGGGAUGUGGCUGCUCUGUGUUUGCAACCCUUUAGCUCCCGUGCAGAUGUGGCUGUUUUGUCAGGAAACAGCAGGUUCUGCCUGAGAUCAUGGCUGUGGCUUUUGGGGGUGCAGGAAGAGAGCGUGGGAACCCCACAUUCCACACCUGGCAGGGCACAGCCUGCCCGUGAGAUACCCAUGCCGCUUUUCCAUGGAAUGCUGCUGUGGCCUGGAGGAGCAUCUUGCCCAAAAGGAUGCCAAGGCACAUGGACUGGAGCAGGGGCAAUGGGUGCUGAGAGUUCUAAUGGUCCUGGUGUGACCAGUAAUGAUCUGUUAACAUAGUGUCUGCAGCUAGGAAAGACAGGCUUAUUUCUGUACCUCCCAGGAGACAGGCUGAAGCUAUUAUAAAGUUAUUAAGCUAUUAUUAUACACAGGUAUUAAGGCUGGAUGAAGAAGUCAAGUGAGAGGAGGGCAUACAAAAGAGAAACCUCAGAGGUGUGCAGCAGAGCCAGGGAGAGAGAUGGGGAGGCAUUUGUUGUGGGAAGGGGCUGGUGUAUCUGUGGGAUCAACCAGAGCCAGAGGAGAUAAACCAUAAGUCACCUCUGAGCUCUUGUCAAGGUGUGUAAACCAUUUUCUUCUGCCACAUGGCUGAUUUGUGAGGAUUCCUGCAGGGAGCUGAGCCAAAGGGCCCUGGUGCUGAGGACAUGCUAGUCACCAGAUCACUGAAUGCUGUUGUGCUCUGCAGCAUGAACAGGGACCAGCCGAGCUCCAAAACCCAGGGGAAAGCCCACCUGGGAUUGCAUUUGUUAGGGACCUCUGCAAGGAUUAUGUCAUGGUGUGCAAAGCUUGUGUUUUUGGUGUGAGCAAGUGUACAAAGCCUGUAAGGCCUGAAUUCAAGCAGCCAGCUGGAGGAGGGAAGCUCAGUGAGAAAGGAGGAUGCCUCAAAACGCAGCGUGGGUAGUGUCCCGGAUCCACUCAGAGCUUAGAAGCUCUAAACACAGUGGGAUACAGCAGCUGGAUCUUUUUCCAGCAAUCUGAGCAUCCACCACAGGGAGCAGAGCCAGGGCUGUGACAAACAAGUGCAAAAUGUUAGUCAGAAAGGACAAAUGGAAUGUGAAAAACCACCAGAAACUCCCAAAGUGGGUCAAAUUCCUUGAUGCAUCUAACAAUAGAUGUAGGACGGGAAGGACAGGGUGGAUUCAGUUCCGUGCCCUCCUGUGCCCCCUAAAAUUUGGGCUGCACUGUGGGCCUGAGUCUGUGGUGGUGAAAUUCAAAGCAGGUGGAUGAAAUUGUGGAAGCUGGAGGCUCCAGCUCUGCCUCCUCCACCCGGGCCUGCCUGGCAUAAUAUUAUCUUCACGCCUGAGCGGGGAGGACUUGGCUUGUUAAACUUGCAAACCUGCCUUGCUCGCCCUUGGGUAUCCAGGGCUGCCGGGUCUCUGGGGCAGGAUGUUCUAAUGCUCCU